ACGAACGCUGGCGGCGUGCUUAACACCUGCAAGUCGAACGGAAAGGCCCUGCUUUUGUGGGGUGCUCGAGUGGCGAACGGGUGAGUAACACGUGAGUAACCUGCCCUUGACUUUGGGAUAACUUCAGGAAACUGGGGCUAAUACCGGAUAGGAGCUCCUGCUGCAUGGUGGGGGUUGGAAAGUUUCGGCGGUUGGGGAUGGACUCGCGGCUUAUCAGCUUGUUGGUGGGGUAGUGGCUUACCAAGGCUUUGACGGGUAGCCGGCCUGAGAGGGUGACCGGCCAAAUUGGGACUGAGAUGCGGCCCAGACUCCUACGGGAGGCAGCAGUGGGGAAUAUUGCACAAUGGGCGGAAGCCUGAUGCAGCAACGCCGCGUGCGGGAUGACGGCCUUCGGGUGGUAAACCGCUUUCGCCUGUGGCGAAGCGUGAGUGACGGUAAUGGGUAAAGAAGCACCGGCUAACUACGU
rnacentral:rRNA from 1 species